GGACCCGCACAAGUAGUGGAGCAUGUGGUUUAAUUCGAAGAUACGCGCAGAACCUUACCAACACUUGACAUGUUCGUCGCGACUUUGAGAGAUCAAAGUUUUUCGGUUCGGCCGGACGAAACACAGGUGCUGCAUGGCUGUCGUCAGCUCGUGUCGUGAGAUGUUGGGUUAAGUCCCGCAACGAGCGCAACCCUCACUUUUAGUUGCCAUCAUUAAGUUGGGCACUCUGAAAGAACUGCCAGUGAUAAGCUGGAGAAGGUGGGGAUGACGUCAAGUCCUCAUGGCCCUUACGUGUUGGGCUACACACGUGCUACAAUGGUAUCUACAACGGAAGCAAGACGGCAGACGUUAAG
rnacentral:rRNA from 1 species